AGUGAACGCUGGCGGCGUGCCUAAUACAUGCAAGUCGAACGGAGUGGCGCACGGGUGAGUAAUAUAUAGCUAAUCUGCCCCUUGCUGGAGGACAACAGUUAGAAAUGACUGCUAAUACUCCAUAGCAAGGGAUGAGACUAUAUCGUAUCAGCUAGUCGGUGGGGUAACGGCCUACCGAGGCUAUGACGCGUAACUGGUCUGAGAGGAGGAUCCGUCACAUUCGAACGGAGACACCGGUCAAACACCUUGGGGAGGCAGCAGUAGUGUAUAUUGCGCAAUCGGCGAGAACCUGAAUCAGCAACGCCGCGUGGAGGAUGUCACUUUGCGAAGCGUAAACUGUUUUUGUUAGGGAAGCGGUACCUAACGAAGAAGCACCGGCUAACUCCGUGCCAGCCGCCGCGGUAAUUC
rnacentral:rRNA from 1 species